ACUCCUUAAACUCGAAGUCUUCAAGGCCAAUCCCUGAUUCUCUCGCGCGCUCCACAAAGAAACGAGCAAGAGGAGAGCUAGGGUUAGGGUUUUCACCUUACUGAAGAAGAAAAUGGGCUCAUCCGUUUGUGUCCGAGUCCAAUUGCGAACCUCAACGACCUUAUCUCAAAGCUCAUGCAGUGCAAGCCAUUCGCAGAGCACCAGGUUCCAGAUACCUAUUACUUAUUUAUGGGAGAUUAUUUGGACGAUGGAGAUUAUUCUUCUUAUGAUUAAUCUACAGUUGAGCCAGCCACUAGGAGAGGAGAACCAGAUGUGACCCUGUAGGAUGACUGAUCAUUUUCUAGGAAGCAGCUGCUCGUCAUGUGCUUUCCCAGUGACUUCAGAUCAUUUUCCAUGAAGCAGCUGCUCGCCAUGUGCUUUCCCAGCGACUUCAUCUCUCUCGCUCACACAUGAUGGUUGCGAAAUUGAAUUCCUCUGAUGGUUGUGGGAGCUGAAACCAUGUAAAAAAAAAAAUGUUCAUUGCUUGAUCUAUCUUACAUGUCUUCUUGCAUGACUCCUUUCUGGGGGAGUUCAUUUAGCUGGUCUUCAUUUUGCUCUUCCACCCUCCUUUUUGGAACUAUGGAAGGAUGUAUAUGAUCUUACAUUUAAGAAUCAGAAUAGAUGAUUUCAUACAAUUUCUGAUUCUAUAU